GGGUUGAUGAUGACAACCUAAUGUCUGAAAAGUAGUGAUGAAUAAAAAAAAAAUAAUACACCAGGGGAUUGAGCUGAGGCCC